rnacentral:rRNA from 1 species
GACACCCUACGGGACGCAGCAGUAGGGAAUAUUGCUCAAUGGGGGAAACCCUGAAGCAGCAACGCCGCGUGGAGGAUGAAGGUUUUCGGAUUGUAAACUCCUUUUGUUAGAGAAGAUAAUGACGGUAUCUAACGAAUAAGCACCGGCUAACUCCGUGCCAGCAGCCGCGGUAAUACGGAGGGUGCAAGCGUUACUCGGAAUCACUGGGCGUAAGGAGCGCAUAGGCGGGAUAGCAAGUCAGAUGUGAAAUCCUAUGGCUUAACCAUAGAACUGCAUUUGAAACUGUUAUUCUAGAG